rnacentral:rRNA from 1 species
UACCGAUAGGUGGUUUUACAAGUCAGAAGUGAAAUCUUUAAGCUCAACUUAGAGACUGUCUUUUGAAACUGUAAAACUUGAGGGGCAAAGAGGAAGCUGGAACGAACGGUGUAGUAGUGAAAUGCGUUGAUAUCGUUCGGAACACCAAUAGCGUAGGCAGGCUUCUGGGUGCCACCUGACACUGCUAGGACGAAAGCGUGGGGAGCGAUAAGGAUUAGAUACCCUUGUAGUCCACGCUGUAAACGAUGCGCAUUCGCUGCUCGCGAGUAUCGACCCUCGUGAGUAGCUCAGCUAACGCGUUAAAUGCGCCGCCUGGGGAGUACGGCCGCAAGGCUAAA